GGGGCCCUGGCUGGUGUGGCUCAGUGAACUGAGCACCAGCCUGCGAACCAAAAGGUUACCAGUUCGAUUCCCAGUCAGGGCACAUGCCUGCGUUGCCCGCCACGUCCCUAGUUGGGGGCCUGUGACAGGCAACCGAUCGAUGUUUCUCUCACACAUUGAUGUUUCUCUCCCUCUCU